UNUCAGAACAGUAGCGAUUUCUAGAUAAC
rnacentral:piRNA from 1 species